CAGCCGCCGCGGGAAUACGUAGGGUGCAAGCGUUAAUCGGAAUUACUGGGCGUAAAGCGUGCGCAGGCGGUUAUAUAAGACAGAUGUGAAAUCCCCGGGCUCAACCUGGGAACUGCAUUUGUGACUGUAUAGCUAGAGUACGGCAGAGGGGGAUGGAAUUCCGCGUGUAGCAGUGAAAUGCGUAGAUAUGCAGAGGAACACCGAUGGCGAAGGCAAUCCCCUGGGCCUGUACUGACGCUCAUGCACGAAAGCGUGGGGAGCAAACAGGAUUAGAUACCCCGGUAGUCCCUGUCUCUUAUAC
rnacentral:rRNA from 1 species